UGAAGGGCAGGCAGCCUGACUCUAAGCUCCACUGUUCCAGCUCAUUAGCUCUGAUUAAUCGGCCUGCAUGCUUUCCCAUGGUCCCCUCUGCCUGUUGGAGAAAGAGAGCUCACCUUAGAAGGCACAGGGACUUUGUCUGCUACUACACAACUGGGUUGGGGUCAAUUCAAUUUGAAGUCAGACGAUUCAGGAAGCAAACUGGUUUUCCAAUGCAAGGACCUGAGCCCUAGGACCAUGCCUCAGGACUACCUGGCAUGAUGACUCCUUGCUGUCCCCAGUCCACCUGGCCGUGCUGCUGCUCCAGUUUCAACUGUUCUGCCUGCGGCUAUGGAACCCUGACCUGUUCAACUCUCUAGAGACAGCAGGAGCGGUAGAGAUACUCUUAAUGAUCGGCUAUGAAAAGCCAACUGACAUUUACUCCUGAGGUGCUGACUUGUUGCACCCUCGACAACUACUGUGAUUAUUAUUAUUUGACCAUGCUGGUCAUUUAUGAACAUUUGAACAUCUUGGCCAUGUUCUGUUAUAAACUCCACCCGGGAGAGGCAGAAGAGGACUGGCCACCCCUCAUAGCCUGGUUCCUCACUAGGUUUCUUCCUAGUUUUUGGCCUUUCUAUGGAGUUUUUCCUAGCCACUGUGCUUCUACACCUGCAUUGCUUGCUGUUUGGGGUUUUCGGCAGGGCUUCUGUACAACACUUUUGAGAUAUCAGCUGAUGUAAGCUAUAUAAAUACAUUUGAUUUGAUUUGAAUCGGUCUUUAAAGUUUGAAUCUGAUCCAUGUGCACCUUCAUCAGAAGAGCAGAAUGGUACCGCCCUGGGCCCCCAUCAAUUACAGUGGCCUAUGAUAGAAACGGUAGAACAGUUAAGAAUUCAAAGUGACUCCAGCACACAAAUGCUGCGUACACAUUUUAAGAAUCUAGAAAUACUAACCGCUUUCUUGGCAACCAUACAUUUUUAGGGGUGGAGUUUGGGGUGGGGUGAGGAGUACAGGAAAGGUGUGACUUUCAGCUUACACUAGGCCAUAAGUAUUCAGCAGAUCGCCGAUUGUCCUCACUUUGAUUAUGCUGUAACAACAUACUGUAGCACCAUGACCAGGCUCUCUGCUCAUUUAAGUGAGCAGAUCAGGGCUUUCAGGAGGAAUGUAAAAUCUAGUGCAGACAAUAACGUUUUUUUAAAAAUCAAUUAGUGUAUUUGAGUUUAACCACAUUAUCUGUUGUAUAAUCUGUUCUGUCUUUUCUGGUGGAUUAAAAUGAAAUUGCAAACAAUGUUCUAUGGCUUGUUUAAAAAAUAACAAUAUUUUUGAGAUGAUUUUGUUUUCAAAUAACCUAAAGGGUGCAAGAAAAAGGCAAUUCUUGAACAUGGGGUGAGACAUUACUCCUAAUUUGUAAAUAAAGCCAGUUUUGUUAUUUAGAAUAAUUUAUUUCUGCUUUUAGAGGGAGAGAAACCAAAAGCCCACCCUCGCCUCAUGGGUCUCCUGGUCACGGCCAUCGAACCAGCAUCUGCAGCGAUGCAGUUUGUACUGCGAUGCAGUUUGUACUGCGAUGCAGUUUGUACUGCGAUGCAGUUUGUACUGCGAUGCAGU
ensembl:lncRNA